GAACGCUGGCGGCAUGCCUUACACAUGCAAGUCGAACGGCAGCGGGGGGAGCUUGCUCCCUGACGGCGGGUGGCGGACGGGUGAGUAACACGUAGGAAUCUACCUUAAUUAUAAUAGUUAGUGGGGGAUAACCCGGGGAAACUCGGGCUAAUACCGCAUAAUCUCUUCAAAGCAAAGCGGGGGAUCUUCGGACCUCGUGCUAUGAGAUGAGCCUGCGUCGGAUUAGCUAGUUGGUAGGGUAAUGGCCUACCAAGGCGACGAUCCGUAGCUGGUCUGAGAGGACGAUCAGCCACACUGGGACUGAGACACGGCC
rnacentral:rRNA from 1 species